rnacentral:rRNA from 1 species
AGAGUUUGAUUCUGGCUCAGAUUGAACGCUGGCGGCGUGCUUAACACAUGCAAGUCGAACGUGAAAGUCCUUCGGGACGAGUAAAGUGGCGCACGGGUGAGUAACGCGUGGAUAAUCUACCCUUAAGAUGGGGAUAACGGCUGGAAACGGUCGCUAAUACCGAAUACGCUCCCGAUUUUAUCGUUGGGGGGAAAGAUGGCCUCUGCUUGCAAGCUAUCGCUUAAGGAUGAGUCCGCGUCCCAUUAGCUAGUUGGCGGGGUAACGGCCCACCAAGGCGACGAUGGGUAGCCGGUCUGAGAGGAUGACCGGCCACACUGGAACUGGAACACGGUCCAGACUCCUACGGGAGGCAGCAGUGGGGAAUAUUGCGCAAUGGGCGAAAGCCUGACGCAGCGACGCCGCGUGAGGGAUGAAGGUUCUCGGAUCGUAAACCUCUGUCAGGGGGGAAGAAACCCCCUCGUGUGAAUAAUGCGAGGGCUUGACGGUACCCCCAAAGGAAGCACCGGCUAACUCCGUGCCAGCAGCCGCGGUAAUACGGAGGGUGCAAGCGUUAAUCGGAAUCACUGGGCGUAAAGCGCACGUAGGCGGCUUGGUAAGUCAGGGGUGAAAUCCCACAGCCCAACUGUGGAACUGCCUUUGAUACUGCCAGGCUUGAGUACCGGAGAGGGUGGCGGAAUUCCAGGUGUAGGAGUGAAAUCCGUAGAUAUCUGGAGGAACACCGGUGGCGAAGGCGGCCACCUGGACGGUAACUGACGCUGAGGUGCGAAAGCGUGGGUAGCAAACAGGAUUAGAUACCCUGGUAGUCCACGCU